rnacentral:rRNA from 1 species
UACGUAGGGUGCGAGCGUCAAUCGGAAUUACUGGGCGUAAAGCGUGCGCAGGCGGUUCGCUAAGACAGAUGUGAAAUCCCCGGGCUUAACCUGGGAACUGCAUUUGUGACUGGCGGGCUAGAGUAUGGCAGAGGGGGGUAGAAUUCCACGUGUAGCAGUGAAAUGCGUAGAGAUGUGGAGGAAUACCGAUGGCGAAGGCAGCCCCCUGGGCCAAUACUGACGCUCAUGCACGAAAGCGUGGGGAGCAAACAGG